rnacentral:rRNA from 1 species
GGACUACCGGGGUAUCUAAUCCUGUUUGCUCCCCACGCUUUCGCACAUGAGCGUCAGUUUCGGGCCAGUUGGCCGCCUUCGCCACUGGUGUUCUUCCUAAUAUCUACGAAUUUCACCUCUACACUAGGAAUUCCGCCAACCUCUCCCGAACUCAAGACAGACAGUAUCAAAGGCAAUUCCGAGGUUGAGCCCCGGGAUUUCACCCCUGACUUAUCAAUCCGCCUGCGUGCGCUUUACGCCCAGUGAUUCCGAACAACGCUAGCCCCCUUCGUAUUACCGCGGCUGCUGGCAC